UCAUGGAAAAUGACUUCAUCUGCCUCCAUAACGCCAGGGAAGUUGUUGAAGGCUUCAAGGCCGUGGGGUUCCAUAAGUGCAUGGGUGCAUUGGACAG